UACGUAGGGUGCAAGCGUUGUCCGGAAUCAUUGGGCGUAAAGAGCUCGUAGGCGGUUCGUCGCGUCGGCUGUGAAAUCCCGGAGCUCAACUCCGGGUCUGCAGUCGAUACGGGCGGACUCGAGUUCGGCAGGGGAGACUGGAAUUCCUGGUGUAGCGGUGAAAUGCGCAGAUAUCAGGAGGAACACCGGUGGCGAAGGCGGGUCUCUGGGCCGAUACUGACGCUGAGGAGCGAAAGCGUGGGGAGCGAACAGG
rnacentral:rRNA from 1 species